rnacentral:rRNA from 1 species
UACGUAGGGCGCAAGCGUUGUCCGGAAUUACUGGGCGUAAAGGGCUUGUAGGUGGCCAACUAAGUCACACGUGAAAUCCCCAGGCUUAACCUGGGAACUGCGUGUGAUACUGGAUGGCUUGAAUCCGGGAGAGGGAUGCGGAAUUCCAGGUGUAGCGGUGAAAUGCGUAGAUAUCUGGAGGAACACCGGUGGCGAAGGCGGCAUCCUGGACCGGUAUUGACACUGAAAAGCGAAAGCCAGGGGAGCAAACGGG